AUGUCGUCGGGCGUGGACGAGAGGGAGCCGCCGCCUGAUGAACUGCUCCCGAUGGGAUUUGCGUCUAUGGCUAGGUUUACGUACGUGGCUGGUGCUGCUCGGUACGCGACACCUGAAGUGCUAGAAGCGUGGUGUACUAGAUGUAAAGAGCCAUGGUCGUGGUACUACCUGCAGCGGAUGACUCACAACUACCAGUCGUACCGCCGAGCUGCCCACCCAUGUGAAAGAAGUUUUGGGUUCGGAGUACCCGUAGUGCUGCAUAUCAACGAUGGAGCCGCGUCGAGCUCGGGUGAGGAGGUGAUCCAUCAUUCUUUUCUUCGGUGGCUGAUGUGGUGGUGCCGGAGGCAGCCGUAUCUGCAACAACCUCCGCUCCCACCUCCCCCAUUAUCUGCAACAACCUCCGAUCCAACUGGCCUAGCCGGCUCCAAUGCUGAUUCUGCACUCAUAUUCCAUUCCAGAGCCGCCGCCCUGUUCACCGGCGGUAACGGAGCCGCCGUCCUCACCCACGGGAACGGAGCCGCCGGCGACCGCCCAUCCGGUCUGCGGAAUACGACGUCACUGCUUGUUCUGCAUCCACAUGUUGGAUUGAAGCAUCGUGAUCCACCUCUGUAUGCUCGUCGCCGGCGUCGAACUCUCUCCAACGACACCCUCCUGACCGGCGCGAUUGGAGCCGCCAGCCACACCCAGCCACCCAGGGGAUCAGAGCCAACGGCCAGCACCCUCCUGGCCUGUUCAAUACGGCGGUACUGCUUCCUCUUCAUCCACCUAUUCGCAUCACGAAUCAUGCAGUACAUACCACGUGUUGUUCACAUUAACGACAAUAGAGAAAAUUUAGCUUUUUUGGACGAACUCAGUGUGAAACAUGCACAUAUGAGGUUAAUGUGCUCACCGAUAAGGUUCGCGCAAAUGAUCGAUGGAUUAGAUGACAAGCACCUAAAGGUCAUCUGCACUCAAACUGGUCUUGGAGGGCUAACAAAGAUGAAGUCAGUGUCCCUCCGACGUAUUAUGUUGGUGCUGCUAGCAAAGAGCUACAUCCACGACAUGCAGAGUAUUCACAUUGCUUCACCCACGGUACAGGAUUAUGUCGACUCCAAAUAUUUCGUCCUUGUUGAAGACGUCGCAAGAAUUCCCAAAUUUAACUGGGGAUGUUUCACACUGAACCAUUUGAUAACAUCCAUCAAUACUUUUAAUUAUAAGGAUCAAGUCAAUCUACAAGGAAAUCUAGCUUUGCUCCAAUUUUGGUAUUGGGAACAUGUCCGUGCUGGAUCGAUUUUGUAUUCUCGUAUACCCCGUCCGCUGAUGGCACGGUGGGAUGAAGCCACAGUACUGAUUCUAUAUAUCUUUUCAAAGGUUGUCAUGAGCAUUGGCGAUCUGGAGCCAACCAACAUUACAAAUGACCAGCAUACCAAGAAAGGUACACAUGCGCAUGAAGAUGCUAUCUAUCGACCACAACCACGAGGUCAAACUAUGAGUAGCCAACAAAUGGACAUGAUACUUCAAACACAGAACGAUCUAUUUGCAGAACAAGAGAAAAAGUUGGUCAAACAAGUUGUAGAAGUAGAGCACAAAUUAGAUAAAAGAAUAAUCACCGUGACCGAGGACGUGAUAAACAUAAGGGGUAAAAUUGCCACUCAACCUAGGUUGUCCAAGCUGGAGGACGAAGUUGGAGACCUCAAAAGGGUAGUUGGAGACCUGAAAAGGGAACUCCAGGAAUUAAGAUUGCUAGGUGAAACAAACAAACAAUCAACGACAAAGAAUGCAUACGUACAGGAACAAGAGCAACCAAGCAAUGGCAAGUUUUCAUCAACUCCUGGGUUUGACGCAUGGAAAGCACGAAUUUCUGCUGGUAGACCUAGUGCAAAACCUGUGGUGCAAAACAAGGAGUUGGACCAAGACAUCCCACCACGGAAGCCUGUAUUCAACAAUGAUUACGUAUUGAUAGAUGAAGACUAUGAGGCUGCACUUUUCAUCCGAGAGAGUCACGACCUUGUUGAGGUAGUUCACAUCGAAGACAUUGUGCUAACAGUUCAUCAACUCAAGCCAAAUGUUAGCAAACUAUUCUUCGUCGAUGACGUUAUUAAUGCAUAUGCACACAUUAGCAAUGUUGCAACUGAUGCUACACCAUUCAUUUCCACCGUAGAAAGCAAAAGAUUGCUAGGCGAAUUUGGGGGUAUUCCAAUGGGAUGCAAAAGCCCAGAUGUUGCUAAUGUAGCAACGAAAUUUGUAGGACGCAGAAUGGUACGUGUCCCAAUGAAUGUGCACCGCAUGCACUGGUUACUACUCGUGUUUAAUUUAGACAAAGAAGAGAUCCAGGUCCUAAACUCCAACCAAGCAUAUCGUGACAUUGCCAAGGAAACUGCACUGGUGGAGUCCAUUCAGGCGUGUAUCAAUGAAGCGGUCGAGGAUGGCUUGGUAACACCGCCUAAACCCAUCAAUAUUACCCAGUGGAAAACCACUUGCUAUACUAACAUACCACAACAAACGGAUGGUUAUUCCUGUGGGGCGUACACACUCAAAUACAUGUUGACAUGGGACGGAGAUAAAAUUACCGAGGAUUUCACACAGCUGGAAAAUAUGUUCAAACUACUGCGUUCAGAUUGCAACAAGCUUCAGAAAAGUUCAUACAAGAAUCCUAUAACGAGGGACGAGUAUGAAGCCAGCAUUCCAGAGGAACGAAAAGGUGAAGACGACGACGUCACGAUUAUCACCGACCCUGAUGUUACAAAGAAAGCAGACACAUCCGGUGCCCCAAAGCGUAAACGUGGACGCCCGAGGAAGAAUGCCCCUCCUAGUAAUCCAGUGAAACAACGAUUUGACACCGAGACUAUCGCUAAACAAGUGGAGUUGCAAAGACGCAAGCGCAAACCAUCAAACGUCGUGUCCAGCCCAUUCGUAAAGCCAUGA
rnacentral:rRNA from 1 species